rnacentral:rRNA from 1 species
AAUCAACGCUGGCGGCGUGCCUAACACAUGCAAGUCGAACGAGAAAGUGUGGCUGUAGCAAUACAGUCGCACCUGUAAAGUGGCGAACGGGUGAGUAACACGUAGCUAACCUACCCUCGAGCGGGGAAUAACCCGGGGAAACCUGAGCUAAUACCGCAUAACAUUCCGGUGACUUAAGCCAUCGGGAUCAAAGGCCCGCAAGGGUCACUUGAGGAGGGGGCUGCGCCCGAUUAGCUAGUUGGUGGGGUAAUGGCCUACCAAGGCGAUGAUCGGUAGCCGGCCUGAGAGGGCGCACGGCCACACUGGCACUGAGAUACGGGCCAGACUCCUACGGGAGGCAGCAGUGGGGAAUUUUGCACAAUGCCCGAAAGGGUGAUGCAGCAACGCCGCGUGAGGGAUGAAGGCCCUCGGGUCGUAAACCUCUUUCGAUCGGGAAAAGUGGGCGGGUGAAGAACCCGUUCUGAUGGUACCGGAUGAAGAAGCCCCGGCCAACUACGUGCCAGCAGCCGCAGUAAUACGUAGGGGGCAAGCGUUGUUCGGAAUUACUGGGCGUAAAGGGCGUGUAGGCGGUGCGGUAAGUUGGACGUGAAAUCCCCGAGCUUAACUCGGGGCGGUCGUUCAAAACUG